CUACGGAGGGUGCAAGCGUUAAUCGGAAUUACUGGGCGUAAAGCGUGCGUAGGUGGUUUGUUAAGUUAGAUGUGAAAGCCCCGGGCUCAACCUGGGAACUGCAUUUGAAACUGGCAUACUAGAGUAUAGGAGAGGAAAGUGGAAUUUCAGGUGUAGCGGUGAAAUGCGUAGAUAUCUGAAGGAACAUCAAUGGCGAAGGCAGCUUUCUGGACUAAUACUGACACUGAGGUACGAAAGCGUGGGUAGCAAACAGGAUUAGAAACCCUAGUAGUCC
rnacentral:rRNA from 1 species